UCCUACGGGAGGCAGCAGUAGGGAAUAUUGGUCAAUGGAGGCAACUCUGAACCAGCCAUGCCGCGUGCAGGAUGACGGCCCUCUGGGUUGUAAACUGCUUUUAUACGGGAAGAAAAAAUACUACGUGUAGUAUAUUGACGUUACCGUAAGAAUAAGGAUCGGCUAACUCCGUGCCAGCAGCCGCGGUAAUAU
rnacentral:rRNA from 1 species